rnacentral:tRNA from 1 species
GCCCGUAUGAUCCUCGGUGGUCCGAGGUGCAGGCUUCAAACUUGUAGCCGGUUAGCGCCGGAGUGGUUCGAUUCCACCUUGCGGGU